GGAGGAACAGAACUACCUUUGUAAGGAGAAUAUAAAAUCUGCCAUGCCUCAAUGCUCCUGAGAACAGAAAGUGAGGAAUCAGCCCUUGCACAAGUCUCAACAUCUCCAUACAGCCAGCAUCACUCCAGCUGUCAGCAGCAAUACCAAUGAACCCAUUAUCCUUGCUGAAGGACUAAUAAAUUCCCCCACCAGUGGUGGGGUAGCAGAGAAAGGAAUGAGCAGACUCCGUCAGUGACUGCUGCAGAGAGGUGCUUGAAAUGGGGCUCUCUAGCUCGACAGUAUUGUUUUUCCGUCUCCAUUUUUCACAGGGAGCCCAGAUGAAACCUCAACACAGAAAAUAUAAGUAUUUGCACUUAGAUUUUUUUUUUUCUGCCUCUGGAAUUAACUAUCUGAAUGUUUGGUGUUUUGAUAAAUCAGUGCAGCCACUGUACAUUAGUAUCUGCUCAUGCUGAUUAGUUCAAUUAGAUCUAAAAGUCUGCUUUAGUUAAUGUA